AUUGAUUUAGUGAGCUCACUACUUAAUAUUCUUAAUGAAAUAAAAAAAGAAAAUGUCAAGCGCUUUGUAUGUAGUGAGGGUAUUAUUUUGCAAUGCUCUUGUUACAGUUUUCAAAAUAUAUAUGUUGUAUAAUGAGUAGCAAUGUACAGUGUGUUUGUUUUUAAUCCGGGUCUUGGUCAGAAAGUUUAAGAGCUACCGCCCUGUGUAGAAAUCCUGGAAGCAGCACUGACAGAGGCUGGGGUGUGCAGAUCCCUUUUUCUUCCAGGAGGCUCAGCUCCCAAGAAUGUAAGUGGCAAGAAUUCCAGGAUGCCUCUCUGCUGUCCUCAGACCUCCCUUCCCUGGCCCUGCAGCCCACUUCGCUCAGGGCUGUCGAGCCCCACAGUCAGCCACCCCACCCCAGGGCCCAGGGUCCACUCUCUGCCCAGCCCAGCCCGGGCCCAGCCCUGCUUCUUCACAUUCUUCACAGCGCGACCCACAUCUCCCUGGGGACCUCUCUCGAAGCCCUCUGGCCUUGGCCUCACAUGUUAACAUGCGGAGCUCAGCAAAGCAGUCCUCAGAUGUUUAAGUGUCUACUAUGUGCCGGGCACCAGGGUUCCAGGGUGAAGCAGAGAUCCAAGACCCCUGCACUUAAUGGUGGUUGUACAUGAAAUCGGUUUGGAUCGGAGAAAUGCUGUGAGGAUCAGGACGCAGACAGAGAGCACCUGGGGGCCCCUCGGAGGAGGCAGCCUCUGACUCAGACCUAAACGGUAGCAAGGUGUGAGCAGUGGCGUCUGGGAGGAUUUCAACCAGAAGGAACAACCCGUGUAAAGACCAGAGAUAGGAAUAAACUUGCUGUGUUCAAGGAACAGAAGAAUGGCCUGAUGGCUGGCGGGGGGGUGGGGGGGGAGGGAAGUGGAGCUGUUUGGUCGUGACAUGGCCUGGAGCAAGCGGGACGCUGCAGGCUGGCUGGACAGCGUGUGGGGCCAGCAUCCAGGCCCCAGUCCCACAGUUCACCUUCUUGGGGAAGCUCCUGAACCCGGGCGAGGAUGAGAGUGACAGCAUCCACCUCCGGGUCAGGAUCAAAGUUGUGGCCAGGGCUUGGCCCACAGUAGACACUCAGUUGUUCUACCAUUAUUAUGAUGAUUGGCUUGGGAGGGUAGAAGGGUGAUGCCCCUGUGUUAGAACGACCCCCUGGGAGGUCACAGACGGUGAUGGGAAGGCAGCGGCGGCGGGGGGAGGGGGGGCAUUGGUCGGUCUUGGCAAUGCUGGGUUGGCGUUGCCUCUUAGACGCUGAGCAGACGCCACUGAGAACAGGAGCCCCAUCAGCCUGUUGCUGCUCCCAAGGACAACUGGGGCGGCUGGGGUCCGUGGUAUUUUAAGCCAAGGCCGAGCCUGGGCCCUGCAAGAGGUGUGCACGUGGCGGCUGGAGGAGGGUGCGAGGAGCCAGCCGGAUGGGGGCCUUUGGGCCUGGAGGACUCGAGGAGGAAGGCAGGGGUGAGGAGCCAGGGCCCCCUUCGGAGCCCAGGAGCCCUGGAGAGGAGCCCUCGGGGGGGGGCUGGGGAGAGGAUGGGAGGUGAUGCUCAGUCAGCCCCUUCAAGAAGGGCUUCCGCACUUUACAGUUUAUAAACCCUUAACGUCCACGCCGCGGUUCGUCUUCACAGCAUGCCCACAAAUUGGGUGUUAUUCCUCCCCGUCUUAGGGAUGUGACUCAGAGAAGUCAAGGCAUUUUCCCAUGGCCGCACAGCACCGAAGUAAAACAUUCUCAGGCUUCCUGGAUUCACAGGCCCUUUUGGGGACCUUAUGAAUGCUCUAAGCCUUCUCAGAAAAAUACACAUAUGUAUGCACUAAUUUUAAAGCCUUCUAUGUGUCUUUUUUUUU
rnacentral:lncRNA from 1 species